rnacentral:rRNA from 1 species
GACGAACGCUGGCGGCGUGCUUAACACAUGCCAGUCGAACGGACAGGCCCUGCUUUUGUGGGGUGCUCGAGUGGCGAACGGGUGAGUAACACGUGAGUAACCUGCCCUUGACUUUGUGAUAACUUCAGGAAACUGGGGCUAAUACCGGAUAGGAGCUCCUGCUGCAUGGUGGGGGUUGGAAAGUUUCGGCGGUUGGGGAUGGACUCGCGGCUUAUCAGCUUGUUGGUGGGGUAGUGGCUUACCAAGGCUGUGACGGAUAGCCGGCAUGAGAGGCUGACCGGCCACAUUGGGACUGAGAUACGGCCCAGACGCCAACGGGAGGCAGCAGUGGGGAAUAUGACGCAGUGGGCGGAAGCCUGAGGUAGCGACGCCGCGUGCGGGAUGACGGCCUUCGAGUUGUAAACCGCUUUCGCCUGUGACGAAGAGUGAGUGACGGUAAUGGGUAAAGAAGCACCGGCUAACUACGUG